GACGAACGCUGGCGGCGUGCCUAACACAUGCAAGUCGAACGGAGAUAUGGAGAUUCGUUGAAAUAUCUUAGUGGCGGACGGGUGAGUAACGCGUGAACAACCUGACCUAAAGAGGGGGAUAACAGCGAGAAAUCGUUGCUAAUACCGCAUAAGACCACGACCCGGCAUCGGGAUGAGGUCAAAGGAGCAAUCCGCUUUAGGAGGGGUUCGCGUCCCAUUAGAUAGUAGGCGGGGUAACGGCCCACCUAGUCAGCGAUGGGUAGCCGAGCUGAGAGGCUGAACGGCCACACUGGAACUGGGACACGGUCCAGACUCCUACGGGAGGCAGCAGUGGGGAAUAUUGGGCAAUGGGCGAAAGCCUGACCCAGCAACGCCGCGUGAGGGAAGAAGGUUUUCGGAUUGUAAACCUCUGUCGCAGAUGACGAAGGAAGUGACGGUAAUCUGUGAGGAAGCCCCGGCUAACUACGUG
rnacentral:rRNA from 1 species